AAGAUGAUUAGGGAGAGCUAGCCAAUCCAAUUUAAAAUUACCUGCUUGUUGUUGAGCCUGCGGAGUUCGCCAAAGCUGAGCGAGCCCGCUUCUCUCGAUUUGCAGGGUAACUUUUAUUCCCAGGGAAGUUACUGAGGCAACUUCCAAGAGAACAUGUUCAAAGGGCAGACAGACCACCAAGAUGCAUCUCUAAAGCAGCACUUUCUGAGGAAACCGUUUCGGGCUUGAUUUCCCAGUGACAAUAAAUGAGACUGCACGCAAAUACAGAACCAGAGGGAAUAUAACAAAACAGCACAAUUGUCCGCUACUGAGAUAGAGAGAGCAGAAAGUUACAUAGGAAAGCACUUACUUGGUCUUCUGGGGUGAGCACCCGGGGCAGAGAGGCGCCUGGCCGGCCAGUAGCGAUGUAGUCCAGGCUGGGAGGGGAGAAGCGCGUCUCUCUUAUAGACUUCCGAGGGGCUCCUCCGCCUCCUCCUGCUGCUCCUCCUCCUCCUCCUCUCGCAUCGCCCCCUGUCCUCCUUCCUGGCGAGCUCGACCGCUUUCCCCUGCAGGGGGCCGAGGCGCCUUCCGACCGAGAGCGGGGCUGCUGCCUAGCGGCAAAGCAGCGGCCUCACCUUCAUCCUCCUCCACCCGGUCUCUCCUCCCGCUGAGCAGACGCAGCUCUCAUCUGAGCCACAGGAGUUUCUUAGGACACAUGGUCCUGCCUGGCAUCCAUCUUCAAGGUUUGGUCUGACGCCAGCUCCUGAUGAGGAGAAGAGGGCACAUGGGCAUGGGCAGAGUGCAGUGCUUAUCUACAGUCACCGGUCCAACCCAACUGAGCAUAUGGAGUCCUCAUUGGCCUGUUUUGAUAGGGUCUUUUUUCUACCUGCACUUCCAGCCCCUCAUUUAUGCAGAACUUUCAGUUAUGCAGAAGUUUCAUAUACUGAUGGACUCCAAAGGAUUUCCAUUCAGCUCUAAUUUGCGCAGGUUGGUCCAUACACCCAGCACAAACUCCAAGUCCUGCAAAUACCAAAGAAAAGAAAAUCAAUACUUUUGCUAACUUAGCUCAAUGCUGCCACCCUGAUAUCUCUACAGAGAAAGGGAGAGUUAUAAAUAUGUCAACAAGGCAGCUUUCCUUCCCACCAGCUCCCCCUCCAUCGGCAGCUUCACAAGCUUCUUCUGAGAGUCAGGGACUCUCCUGAAUGAGGGCUCCAUGGAACCAUCACAGAGUUUUCUACAAGCAAAUCUAUUUUGUAAAAGGUGAAAGAUUUAUAAAAUCUGAAGAGAAAUCAGAGUAUGCAAAUCUAUUGAGAAUUACCUGGAAACAACCCAAACAAAAUGAAAAUGUUUUAAAGCAAUGUAUAGAGGCAGGGUGGAACGUUGUCCUAUAUAAUUCAUUACUUUAUUGUAGAAAUAUUAAUAAUUGUAGAAAUAUUAAUAAUAAAAUGUAAAGAAAUAUUCCAGAUAUUAUCAAUUGCUAAUCUGAAGCAUAAUCCAGGCAAAGGAAAAAACUGUAAAAAUCAAACUGAUUUCAGUGGGACAGAGUCAAACAUAUGCUUAACUCAUCCAGUAAAAUCACUAGCCAAACUUUGGGUUAAUGUGUUCUCGGAUUAAUGAAAUAUGUGAACAAAAUUAUCAUAUUUGAAAUAAAAUAUUGACUAUAUUCAGCAAG